GCCGAAGUGGUGAAACUGGCAGACACGCGGCGUUCAGGGCGCCGUGAGAGCAAUCUCAUGGGGGUUCGACUCCCCCCUUCGGCA
rnacentral:tRNA from 1 species